AAAAACAAAAAAAACCCUGGGAUCAAUCCCUCGUACAAAGUUGGGUGGGAGUAGGAGCGAGGCCUCCUACUCGUUCGGCGCCGCCGCCGCUCCAUCCCUUCGUAGUUGGGAUUGUACGAGAGAGUGCCAGAUCCGGCCCGGGAGCCGCCGUAGAGCCUCCACCUAGCAGAGGAGCAGCAGCAUCAACAGCCACACAGCUCGCCUCGCCGCACCGCAAAACAUCGAGGGCAGGGGCACCUAGCAGAGGAGCGCGCGGCAAGAUCGUCACCAUCAAAGCCCCGGCCCCUUUCUCGCCGGGCCAUGGCGGCGGCGGUUGACGGCACCCGGAAGCACGGGGCGGCGGCCUUCCUGGACGACCCCUUUGAGGUGCUGCAGGCGAAGCGGGGCCGGUGCUCGCCGUCCGCCGCCACGGUGCGGUCACCGACCUCGGCAUCAACAUGGAGUUCGACCCCGUCGAGGCGCUCCAGUCCGUAUUCCCCGGCGCCGAUCCGCAGAUGUACCCGGAGGUGAAGGGGAAAUUUCCGGCAGCCAAAAAAAUAUUUAAUAAGUUAUUACUAAUUUGGUCUGGAAUGAAGAGAACAAUGGGGAAGGAGUAAUUGGUAUAUUGGGGUUUCAGUGUGUAUUGCUAAAGCUAUUCUGUUGGGGGAACUGACCGGAAUUAGUGAAAAGUUUUGUCAGGGAUAAUACGACUAACCCAACUGUUACCGGUGCCAUGCUUUUGGGGUCGACCAAAACAUUUAAAAAUGUUAAAUGUGGUUAUGUGAUAAAAUCAAGUAUGAAUGAGGAAGAGAUCAACACCAGCCGCGGCAACAAAGAUGACAACGUGUCUCAGUGGGCAUGAGCAAUGGCACACUCGUGUCGAGUACCUACCGAGAUGCUUCCCUGGUCAGACUUCGAGCACAUCCUCCUUGCCGACGCCGCCUUGGCUAUUGUUGUUGUCUCCUCGGAUAAGCUGUAUUAGGUUGGUUCCAUUGCACUGCAAAUACUACCACUUCUAUUGGGCAACUAAAUACAACUUGCAAGCACGGGAAAACAUGUACACCAAUGUUGUCGGGCGCGCGGAAGCCAAUUCCUUGGGUCACCCAUUGUUCAUCUGCUGCUCUAACCAGUAACCAUGCCUUGCUCCCAGUAAAUUUGAGCUCGCAGCCAUUUAGGUAGCUUCUUGUCAUGCUCACAUCUAGCAGCAAGAAAAAUGAGAAGCUACUGACCAGAAUGUAAUGUCUUAGUGGUAGGGAGUAACCAAGAUAUGAUGCUCUAAUGCAAAAUAUUAUAGGAAUAUCUACUUACUUUAACCACUUUUCGUAUUUGGUAUUUAAUCCAUCUACAUGUACAAACACAAAAUGCAGAUAUUGUUUUGCUGUGGAGAAAUUUUAUGAUGUGC